rnacentral:rRNA from 1 species
CCCUGGCUCAGGAUGAACGCAGGCGGCGUGCUUAACACAUGCAAGUCGAACGAUGAUCCGGUGCUUGCACCGGGGAUUAGUGGCGAACGGGUGAGUAACACGUGAGUAACCUGCCCUUAACUCUGGGAUAAGCCUGGGAAACUGGGUCUAAUACCGGAUAUGACUCCUCAUCGCAUGGUGGGGGGUGGAAAGCUUUAUUGUGGUUUUGGAUGGACUCGCGGCCUAUCAGCUUGUUGGUGAGGUAAUGGCUCACCAAGGCGACGACGGGUAGCCGGCCUGAGAGGGUGACCGGCCACACUGGGACUGAGACACGGCCCAGACUCCUACGGGAGGCAGCAGUGGGGAAUAUUGCACAAUGGGCGCAAGCCUGAUGCAGCGACGCCGCGUGAGGGAUGACGGCCUUCGGGUUGUAAACCUCUUUCAGUAGGGAAGAAGCGAAAGUGACGGUACCUGCAGAAGAAGCGCCGGCUAACUA